rnacentral:rRNA from 1 species
UACGGAGGGGGCUAGCGUUGUUCGGAAUUACUGGGCGUAAAGCGCACGUAGGCGGAUCAGCAAGUUAGGGGUGAAAUCCCGGGGCUCAACCCCGGAACUGCCUUUAAAACUGUUGGUCUGGAGGUCGAGAGAGGUGAGUGGAAUUCCGAGUGUAGAGGUGAAAUUCGUAGAUAUUCGGAGGAACACCAGUGGCGAAGGCGGAUCUCUGGGCCAUUACUGACGCUGAGGAACGAAAGCCAGGGGAGCAAACGGG